AAUUGAUCAUACACAGAACCCUUCUAUAGCUGACUCACUUGAAGAACUGUGAAAGAUGAGGGGGCGAAGGGGUUGGCCUCAACAGUUGUAAUUGUCCUACACACCACUUUCUCCUGGAAAUUGCUAGACCAUCGACACCAGCCUAGGUCAACAUCUCUAUCCUAUUGACUUGUAACAAAGAGACUGAUAAUGUAGUUUUCUACUACAAACAUGAAAUUGAGAGCUCUAGCAUUGACAUGUGCAUGGAGAAACACUUGUGUUGUUCAUAUAAGAGAUGAAUGCAACAGACAAGAAACCAUAUUAUCCACACACAGUAACAAUAUUUAGAAAAGCAAAACCCGAGCCUCCUGGCUACAUAAUGAAGAUUUUCCACAUGGGACUGAGUUAGAUUGUAUACUGUGGAAAA
rnacentral:lncRNA from 1 species